ensembl:lncRNA
GUGACAGGCUGAAUAUGUCAGUGAGACGGUGCAUUGUUCUAGUGACAGGCUGAAUAUGUCAGUGAGACGGUGCAUUGUUCUAGUGACAGGCUGAAUAUGUCAGUGAGACGGUGCACUGCUCUAGUGACAGGUUGAAUAUGUCAGUGAGACGGUGCAUUGUUCUAGUGACAGGCUGAAUAUGUCAGUGAGACGGUGCACUGCUCUAGUGACAGGUUGAAUAUGUCAGUGAGACGGUGCAUUGUUCUAGUGACAGGUUGAAUAUGUCAGUGAGAUGGUGCAUUGUUCUAGUGACAGGCUGAAUAUGUCAGUGAGACGGUGCAUUGUUCUAGUGACAGGCUGAAUAUGUCAGUAAGACGGUGCACUGCUCUAGUGACAGGCUGAAUAUGUCUGUGAGACGAUGCAUUUUUCUAGUGACAGGCUGAAUAUGUCAGUGAGACUGUGCAUUGUUCUAGUGACAGGCUGAAUAUGUCAGUGAGACGGUGCACUGUUCUAGUGACAGGCUGAAUAUGUCAGUGAGACAAUGCACUGUUCUAGUGACAGGUUGAAUAUGUCAGUGAGAUGGUGCAUUGUUCUAGUGACAGGCUGAAUAUGUCAGUGAGAUGGUGCAUUGUUCUAGUGACAGGCUGAAUAUGUCAGUGAGAC